rnacentral:rRNA from 1 species
CUNCGCAAUGGCCGAAAGUCUGACGGAGCAACGCCGCGUGAGCGAAGAAGGUCUUCGGAUCGUAAAGCUCUGUUGUUAGGGAAGAACAAGUAUCGGAGGAAAUGCCGGUACCUUGACGGUACCUGACGAGAAAGCCACGGCUAACUACGUGCCAGCAGCCGCGGUAAUAA